CUUCCCAUACCGAACAGGGCAGUUAAGCCCGCCAGCGCCGAUGGUACUAGGGUAAAACCAGGGAGAGUAGGACACCGCCCGUU
rnacentral:rRNA from 1 species